rnacentral:rRNA from 1 species
AUAAAUCUUAAUGAUGAAAACAAUAUUGUUCAUGAAGUAUUGAUAAUUUUGAAGAUUAAUAUAUUAUCUAACUCAAUCCUUGCAUCACAAAGGGAAUAGUUCUAGCAUAUAUUGAAAACUACUUUAAUGCACUCCAACUCGAUUAUGGUGACAACAAAAAGAGGUAACACCCUCACAGAAGCUCAACCUUGGUAUCACUUAGGUAUUGAGUAGUAUAUUUAUUUUUCAUUGUCCGUUACAGACAUUUAGUAAAUAUUCUAACCAAAAUUACCCGUGAGUGUGUGCCUCAGCACCUACGUACUCCAUACAUAGGCCUGCGAGGCCUCUAUUCAGCCUGCCUUGAAACAUGAACCAAUGACUCUGACAUGUGUAUGAGACAAUAGGCGAGCAAACUCGUACGGUGCAAUGAAGCAAAUUGGGGAUCCGUCACGGGUGCAUCGUGACUGACGUUGAUCUUCUAAGAAGGGUUCGAGUGAGAGCAUACCUGUUGGGACCCGAAAGAUGGUGAACGAUGCCUGAGCGGGGUGAAGCCAGAGGAGACUUUGGUGGAGGCCCAAAGCGAUACUGACGUGCAAAUCAUUUAUUUGACUUGGGUAUAUGGGCGAAAGAGUAAUCAAACCGUCUAGUAGUUAGUUAACUCCGAAGUUUCCCUCAGGAUAGUUGGAGCUCACACAUGAGUUAUAUAAGGUAAAGCUAAUGAUUAGAGGCAUCAAGGGCGUAAUGGCCUCAACCUAUUCUCUAAUAGGUAGGGCCGAGCGACUGCUUUGUUGAGCCGCACCACGGAAUCGAGAGCUCCAAGUGAGCCAUUUUUUUAGUAAACAGAACUAGCAAUGCGAGAUGAACCAGAAGCUCGGUUACGGUGCUCAACUGCACACUAACUAAAUCCCACAAAAGGGUGUUGUCAAUUAAGAGAACAUAAUGGUGAUCAUGAAAGUCUAACUCCACUAAGGAGUAUGUAACAACUCAUUAGUUGAAUCAACUUGCCCCGAAAAUGGAUGGCACUGAAGCACAUGACGUAUACCCGGCUGCUGGGGCAAGUGUCAAGCGCCGAUGAGUAGGAUGACGUAGCAGUAGCUGAAAAAGCUAUGACACAAGCAAGGACAGAGUGGCCGUCGGUUCAGAUCUUGGUGGUAGUCGCAAAUAUUCAAAUGAGAACUCUGAAGGCUGAAGGGGGAAAGCUUCCAUGUGAACGACACUUGCACAUGAGUUAGUCGAUCCUAAGAGUAGCGGGAAGCCCCGUCUGACAGCGCAUUUCACGGAUGAGCUUCAAAAGGGAGCCGGGUUAAAAUUUUUGAAUUGGGACACGGGGGUUGGCUGCAACGUUAGGAAGUCCACAGAUGUCACAGGAGGCAUCAAGAAGAGUUAUCUUUUUGUUUAACAGUCUGCCCACCCUAAAAACAACUCAAUUGGAGGUAAAGUUCAAUCGCUGGAAGAGCACUGCACGUUAUGUGGAGUCCAUUGCGCCUUUGGCGGCCCUUGAAAAUCCUAAGGCCCUAGUACCAACCAUAACUGGUCAUACUUAUAAUCGCAUUAGGUUUCCAAGGUGAACAACCUCUAGUUGAACAAUGUAGGCACGGGAAGUCGGCAAAAUGGAUCUAUAACUUCGGGAAAAGGAGUGGUGCUAAGGGCUGGGUGCGGGGGUCCCAGUUCCGAACCCAUCGACUAUCAGUGGACUGUUCGAGCUAGUCUUGCUGCAAGGGUAGGUCGCAGCGUGCCGGCCAGGGGAUGGAUUUCUGCCUAGUGCUUUAAAUGUCAAAGUAAAGAAAUUCAACUAAGCAUGGAUAAACAGCGGGAGUAACUAUGACUCUCUUAAGGUAGUCAAAUACCUUGUCAUCUAGUCCGACUUUGUGAAAUGAAAUGAGAGGUGUGGCAUAACUGGGAGCUUCAACUAAGUGAAAUACCACUACUUUUAACAUUAUUUUACUUAUUUCGUGAGUUAGAGGCAGGGUAUCGCCCUUCCUUUUGGACCUAAGGCUUGCUUCACUGGCCAAUCCAGGUAAGGACAUUAUUAGCUAGGGAGUUUGGCUGGGGUGACACAUAUAUUAAAAGAUAAAGCAUGUUUCCUAAAAUGAGCUCAACGAGAAUGGAAAUCUCAUGUGGAACAAAAGGGGAAAAGCUUGUUUGAUCUUGAUUUUGAGUACCAAUGCGAGCUGUGAAAGCAUGGCCUAAUGAUCCUUUAGACCUUUAGAACUCAAAGCUAGAGGUGUCCGAAUAGUUACCACAUGGAUAACUGGCUAGUGGCAGCCAAACAUUCACAACAAUAUUGCUUUUUGAUCCUUCAAUGUUGGAUCUUCCUAUCAUUAUGAAGUAGAAUUCACCAAGCAUUGCAUUGCUCACCCACUAAUAGGGAACGUGAGCUGGGUUUAGACCGUCGUAAGGCAUGUUAGUUUUACCCCACUGAUGAUAGUGUUGCGAUGGUAAAUCAACCUAAUAUGAGAGGAACCAUUAAUUUGCACAACUGACCAUUGUGCUCGGUUGAAAAGCUAGUGGCAUGAAGCUAAUGUGCACUAGAUUAUGACUGAAUGCGUCUAAGUCAGAAUAUGAGCCAGAAGCGAUGCAUGCUCUUGCCGCCCAAUUACCGACUUGCAGUAGGGACCUCAGCCCCUAAGGGCACGUGUCGUAGGCUGAGUCAGCGUGGCAAAUGCACCACAAUGACUACCUUGAAGUACAAUUCCU